GUGGGGAAUAUUGCGCAAUGGGCGAAAGCCUGACGCAGCGACGCCGCGUGAGGGAUGAAGGUUUUCGGAUCGUAAACCUCUGUCAGAAGGGAAGAAACUACGUUGUGCUAAUCAGCAGCGUACUGACGGUACCUUCAAAGGAAGCACCGGCUAACUCCGUGCCAGCAGCCGCGGUAAUACGGAGGGUGCAAGCGAUAAUCGGAAUUACUGGGCGUAAAGCGCACGUAGGCUGUAGUGUAAGUCAGGGGUGAAAUCCCACGGCUCAACCGUGGAACUGCCGUUGAUGCUGCACAACUUGAAUGCGGGGGAGGGUGGCGGAAUUCCAGGUGUAGGAGUGAAAUCCGUAGAUAUCUGGAGGAACAUCAGUGGCGAAGGCGGCCACCUGGACCGGUAUUGACGCUGAGGUGCGAAAGCGUGGGGAGCAAACAGGAUUAGAAACCCUUGUAGUCC
rnacentral:rRNA from 1 species